CUGAAGACUUUGCCGGAUUAGCUGGAGAGGUGGUGCAUGGCCGUCGUCAGUUCGUACUGUGAAGCAUCCUGUUAAGUCAGGCAACGAGCGAGACCCAGCCCACAGUUGCCAGCGUACUCUCUGGAGUGACGGGUACACUGUGGGACCGCCGCUGCUAAAGCGGAGGAAGGAAUGGGCAACGGUAGGUCAGUAUGCCCCGAAUAUCCCGGGCUACACGCGAGCUACAAUGGUUGGUACAAUGGGUAUCUACCCCGAAAGGGGACGGGAAUCUCCUAAAACCAAUCUUAGUUCGGAUUGAGGGCUGCAACUCGCCCUCAUGAAGCUGGAAUCCGUAGUAAUCGCGUUUCAACAGAACGCGGUGAAUACGUCCCUGCUCCUU
rnacentral:rRNA from 1 species